GUUUGUACUUUGUUUUGCUCAGAACUCUUCCAAGAGUACUUGCCAUUUCAGAAAAUCUCUGAAAACAUGGUGCUUUUGAGUUGUCCACACAUAGGUAUUAACCCAUUGUCACAUUCACAGUGAUUUGAUGUACAGGUGCAAGAAUCCUACUAAUUCAUAUAGCCUGGGAAAUAAUUAUUUUAUUGAAGGCCUUCUACUGCUUCCUGGAAUUGGGGUAUUAUAUUAAUUUUUUAAAAUCAUGAGUGAAUGUUGUAUUAUCUACAGAUUUUUACUUCAAGAGAGUAAAAGGGCCAUUUGAAAACAUUUGUUAUAGCAAAGAUGCCUUUGUUUUAUAGAUUCAAGUACCUCCAUGGGGGAACUUCCCUGGUGGUCCAGAGAUGAAGACUUCACCUUCCAAUGCAGGAGGUGUGGGUUCGAUCCUUGGUAGGAAAUUUGGAUCUCACAUGGUUCAUGGCCAAAAGAACAAAACAUAAAACAGGCAAUAUUGUAAUAAACUCAAUAAAGAUUUUAAAAAUGGUCCGCAUAAAAAAUAAUCUUAAAAAAAAAAAAAAGAACUCUCCUGGGGCUCUUUAAGCCACUUUGGACUUGCUCCCUCUGCUCCCCCCACACCAGCCUCUUGCUCUUUCCCAAGCUCUCCGCAAACAGACUCCUGCUUCAGCCCUUUGCACUCUAUGCUCCCGUGACCUGAAACACUCUUUUCCCAGUGCUCUCCAUCCCUCCCUUACUUAAGUUUCAGCUCAGGCAUCAGAGAGAACUUCCUGACCCUUAUCUGCAAUGACACCCCCACUUCGUUCAUCAUCCACCUGUCCUGUAUCUGAUGGUUUACUCUAUUUGCUUCCAGCUCACUCAUGGCAGCAGGGACUUGGUAGUGUUCACCACUAUACCCAGCAUUGUGAUGGGGCUCAAUAUCCCCCUUGAAGAGAGGAAAGACAUUUGAAUUCCUCAAGCAAAGUAUUCAGGGGAUGCCACAAAAAAGCUUGAAGUUAUGAUACGCUGUAUCCCAGGAACAGUUUGACAGUUUCCUUACUGCUUAUAACCUGCAGUUCCCUACAGAGGCCUCCUCUCCACUGUAGUCUCUGCCAAGUGGUUGUCACAGCAUUAAUUAAACUGGAAGAAUAAAGGCAUUGCAUGUCAUUUUCUAUAUUGAAUGCCUUCAUGUUAUGGACGAAUCUCCAUGGAGAAAUCUGGUACAUAAACUAAAAACAAAUGCCUGCAUGUGGUAUCUGAGACUAUUACAGAAGAAAGAAAACAGGAAAGAAUAUAAGCCAUCUCUGUUGCUUAAAGUGGGGUAGCAGCUGAGUCAAAGCUGGGAUUAUCAGGGGGUGCCUUGGACCUCUGUGGAAACACUUAUCAGUGAGACAAAGACAAGUUUUCAACCGAAGAGUUGUACCUUUUUCAAGAAGUAGAAAAGGCCUUACAGGUCAGCAUCUACAGCCCCUGAAUAUGGAAACAACUGCUCAGUCAUCCACUUACCCUCUCACUGGCAAGUUUUGCAUAUAUGGACUGUCAGAGCAAGAAUCCCAUUGACCUUGUUCAUCUCUCUAUGCCACUGACAUAAGGGGAUCUUCCUGACCCACAGGAAUUGAACCACAUCUGCAUUGGAAAGCAGAUUCUUUACCACUGAGCCUCCUGGGAAGCCUUUACAAUUUUGACAGUGGUCCUUUUCUGUGAAGAGAUUUGAAGUGUGAGAAGGUUCUGAAGGGCCACCUGAUAAGGACAUGACAGUGUCCUCUAGGAUCUGAAAACAGAAACAGAGAUGUCAGUUAUACAGUCCAAGGAAAUGAAUUCUGCCAUCAACUCAAGGAGCAGCAGAUCUUUCUCCAGAUAACCAGUUGCCUGGUUAUAGCCAUGUGAGACCCUGAGUGGAGGACCCAGCUGAAAUAUGCUCUGAGAUAAUAAAUCUGUGUUGCUUUAAGCUCCUAAUUUGUGACAAUUUGUUGCACAGAAAUAAAAAACAAAACCAAAAAACUAAUACAGCAGUUGUUCAAUUUUGAAGGGAACUAGAUGAAAUAUAAAGAAGCCAGGUUUUUUUAGGUUUGAACAUAAAAGGUACCCUUUCUCAAUCUGAUAAGAUGGCAAACCAUUCUCAAAUUAAGACAUGGCUUCCAGGCAAAAAUCAAAUCUAGGCGGGGCCUGUAGAAUUCUUUUAUAAAGCUUCAGAAUGAUGUAAGAUGGCACCUCAGAGACAGACUCAAAUACGAAAAAGUUUUUCUAAAGAUCUUAAAGCAUGCCUUACAGAUUCUUGUUAUGUAAUGGAGCAUUUUAGAAUCUUAAGGGAUUAUCACAUAGCAGCUUCAUUAGGACCCCAACUUAGAAGAGAGCUUAUCUUAAAGAGACUGAGAUUGUGGCUUUCUUAAGAGGACUG
ensembl:lncRNA